UACGGGGGGGGCAAGCGUUGUUCGGAAUUACUGGGCGUAAAGGGUUCGUAGGUGGCCAACUAAGUCAGACGUGAAAUCCCUCAGCUUAACUGGGGAACUGCGUCUGAUACUGGUUGGCUUGAGUGCAGGAGAGGGAUGCGGAAUUCCAGGUGUAGCGGUGAAAUGCGUAGAUAUCUGGAGGAACACCGGUGGCGAAGGCGGCAUCCUGGACCGACACUGACGCUGAGGAGCGAAAGCCAGGGGAGCAAACGGG
rnacentral:rRNA from 1 species